rnacentral:rRNA from 1 species
AACGAACGCUGGCGGCAUGCCUAACACAUGCAAGUCGAACGAGACCUUCGGGUCUAGUGGCGCACGGGUGCGUAACGCGUGGGAACCUGCCCGUAGGUUCGGAAUAACUCCCCGUAAGGGGUGCUAAUACCGGUUAAUCUCAUCGGACCUACGAGCUAUCGCCUUUGGAUGGGGGCGGGUUGGUUUAGCCAGUUGGUAGGGUAAAAGCCUACCAAGGCGACGAUGCAUAGCUGGUCUGAGAGGAUGAUAUGCCGCGCUGGAAAUGAGACACGGCCCAGAGUCGUAGGGGACGGAGGAGUGGGGAGUAUUAGGCGAGGGGCGAAAGCCUGGUACAGCAAUGCGGGGUGAGUGAUGAAGGGGUUAGGGUUGUAAAGCUCUUUUAGACGGGAUGAUAGUGACAGUACCGGGAGAAUAAGCACCGGCUAACUCCGUG